ACGGUAACAGGUCUUCGGAUGCUGACGAGUGGCGAACGGGUGAGUAAUACAUCGGAACGUGCCCGAUCGUGGGGGAUAACGAAGCGAAAGCUUUGCUAAUACCGCAUAAGAUCUACGGAUGAAAGCAGGGGACCGCAAGGCCUUGCGCGAACGGAGCGGCCGAUGGCAGAUUAGGUAGUUGGUGGGAUAAAAGCUUACCAAGCCGACGAUCUGUAGCUGGUCUGAGAGGACGACCAGCCACACUGGGACUGAGACACGGCCCAGACUCCUACGGGAGGCAGCAGUGGGGAAUUUUGGACAAUGGGCGAAAGCCUGAUCCAGCCAUGCCGCGUGCAGGAUGAAGGCCUUCGGGUUGUAAACUGCUUUUGUACGGAACGAAAAGACUCUGGUUAAUACCUGGGGUCCAUGACGGUACCGUAAGAAUAAGCACCGGCUAACUACGUGCCAGCAGCCGCGGUAAUACGUAGGGUGCAAGCGUUAAUCGGAAUUACUGGGCGUAAAGCGUGCGCAGGCGGUUAUAUAAGACAGAUGUGAAAUCCCCGGGCUCAACCUGGGAACUGCAUUUGUGACUGUAUAGCUAGAGUACGGCAGAGGGGGAUGGAAUUCCGCGUGUAGCAGUGAAAUGCGUAGAUAUGCGGAGGAACACCGAUGGCGAAGGCAAUCCCCUGGGCCUGUACUGACGCUCAUGCACGAAAGCGUGGGAGCAAACAGGAUUAGAUACCCUGGUAGUCCACGCCCUAAACGAUGUCAACUGGUUGUUGGGUCUUCACUGACUCAGUAACGAAGCUAACGCGUGAAGUUGACCGCCUGGGGAGUACGGCCGCAA
rnacentral:rRNA from 1 species